GAUGAACGCUGGCGGCGUGCUUAACACAUGCAAGUCGAACGGUGAACGAGGGAGCUUGCUCCCUCCGGAUCAGUGGCGAACGGGUGAGUAACACGUGAGCAAUCUGCCCUGGACUCUGGGAUAAGCGUUGGAAACGACGUCUAAUACCGGAUACGAGACGCGAAGGCAUCUUCAGCGUCUGGAAAGAACUUCGGUCCAGGAUGAGCUCGCGGCCUAUCAGGUAGUUGGGGAGGUAACGGCUCACCAAGCCUACGACGGGUAGCCGGCCUGAGAGGGUGACCGGCCACACUGGGACUGAGACACGGCCCAGACUCCUACGGGAGGCAGCAGUGGUGAAUAUUGCACAAUGGGCGCAAGCCUGAUGCAGCAACGCCGCGUGAGGGACGACGGCCUUCGGGUUGUAAACCUCUUUUAGCAGGGAAGAAGCGAAAGUGACGGUACCUGCAGAAAAAGCACCGGCUAACUACGUGCCAGCCGCCGCAGUAACAC
rnacentral:rRNA from 1 species